rnacentral:rRNA from 1 species
CCCACGCCGGCGUCGGCGGGCGUAUUUCGCCUCACAGUAGGUCGCCGCGACCCGUUGCUUUUGGGGACGUCGAAGGCCCGGACGGAUUGGUACCCUACCGGCUGGGGAUGCGGCUUCGGCUUCUCCUCUUGUCCGGUGGGCGAAACCGCCGGUGUCCUGGCUGCCCUGCGACGGUCGUAGAGACGAGCCCUCCCCUUCGGGGGGGCGGCUCUCGCGGCGUGCAAAAGGUCGGUGAUCCACCCGACCCGUCUUGAAACACGGACCAAGGAGUCUAACAUGUGUGCGAGUCAGUGGGCGCACUAAACCCAGAGGCGUAAUGAAAGUGACACGGGUUCGGCUGUCGCCUCGUGUGGCAGCCGGACUCAGGGCCGAUCCCUCACCGGUUGCCCUCGCCUCUCUCCCGCGUCUCGGUAAGCCGGGUGAGCUAUUUUCCCCGGCCGCUGCUGCGGGGCUCGGGGGGAGGCGGGGUGCGAUGGUGUCCGUAAAAAAGAGCCUGCUGUUGCAGGGGGGCGCAGGCCCGGGACUUGCCAGGACGCCGCGAGACUGUCACUUUGCUGUGAGGCUCUCGGGCCGAUCAGCGGGUCAUGCGUGCAGUCGGCAAGUACCAUGAGCAGACAUGUUGGGACCCGAAAGAUGGUGAACUAUGCCUGGCCAGGAUGAAGCCAGAGGAAACUCUGGUGGAGGUCCGUAGCGAUUC